UACGGAGGGUGCGAGCGUUGUCCGGAAUCACUGGGCGUAAAGGGCGCGUAGGCGGCCAGCACAAGUCAGUUGUGAAAUCUCCGAGCUUAACUCGGAAAGGUCAACUGAUACUGUGCGGCUAGAGUGCGGAAGGGGCAACUGGAAUUCUUGGUGUAGCGGUGAAAUGCGUAGAUAUCAAGAGGAACACCUGCGGCGAAGGCGGGUUGCUGGGCCGACACUGACGCUGAGGCGCGAAAGCCAGGGGAGCGAACGGG
rnacentral:rRNA from 1 species